ACUGAGGACAAUGAUGCAGAAGUGAUUUGUGAAGAACUCCAGAAGCUUUUUCAAGGUUUUGUUGGCAUAUUAUACACUGAAUACAUGGCAUUUAAUACCACCAACGUACGGCCAUGGAUGUAAGUUUUUUGAUGGUCAAACCUUUACUUCUGAUUUCAUUGUCUAUUGCUUUAUGUUUUUCUUUUGAAUAUUUCAGGAGAAGUAAUGAUAAGCUAUUGGAGAGUGGCAUAUAUGCAAUAAACUGAACUGGUGAGGUAGUGAACAACAAUAUUAUUUUGUUAAGUUGUAUGUCUGUUGAAUAUUCUAGAGUUCAAUAGAAAAAGAAUGAAUAAAUUGGUUUAAAAAAGAAGUUAGACGAUAGAAGUUUAAGUCACCUAUUAAACUGAACUGGAAGUUUACUAACCAUAGCUGAACUGGACUGGAAAUUUACUCAAUGUUACAUCUAUGGUUCAAGUCACCUAACCACAGUUUGUGUGAUUUAUUGGACCCAGGUCAGUGAGUAUGUUAAGUUGCUGAGACAAACCCGAUGGACUAGUGGACGACGACAAAAUCGUCCAUCUUCUCCGGUCAGCGGAAAGAGACCUUACCAAUGACCACCACUUAGCUAGGGUGCAUACAAUCUGGACUAUUUUAUUUACAUUUCCGUGGGAAUCUACCUUUCUGUUUCUUCUAUUUCACAUUCUCUGUUU